rnacentral:lncRNA from 1 species
GAAAGAUGUAAAAAAGUUUAUUGCAAAUGUAACCUUAAGGCACCAUAGAGUUAAUUUCUUUAAGGGUAAACAGUUAUUUUAUUUUCAAACUAUAUUUUUUUUCCCAGUUGUAAUAUACCCCCAGAGGAGUGCUCACUCCUCUAAAGACAAAUCAUUAAAACAUGCUUUAUUGUUGAAAUACUGAGAAACCAAGUAUGAACAAAUGAUGUAUUUGUUCAAAGAGAAUAAUGUUGAACAUCAUCAAUCCCUAUUUCUUUUUUUUUUUAAUAAGUUUUUAUCAGUAUAACAAGAACAUCUGGUCUUUGAAAAGUUAGGAGACAUCUCCCAUUAAAACCUAUAGACCUGGUUAGCCUUAAUUUCUUAAAGAACAGCGCUGUCAGGGAGAAAGCAGAGGCUCACCCAUAUGGUUCACUUACAUAUAAAAUGUAUGUUGUCAAUAUACUUAUGCAGGAUGUUUGUGUGUCUCAGAGAAUUAAGUCCAAUAUUAUCUUGAAAUAUUAAAGGUAAAAAUGAAGGUAGAAAAAAAUUAAUUUAACAAGCAAGUAUUUACAUUUUUAUUUUCUAGACCCAUAAAUUAAAUCAUCUCUUUUCUACUUUAUGAGAUGGGGGUGAGGCGCAUGGAAGAAUAACACCUGGAAAACAAUCUUCCACUAAAAUCAAUGAAUUACUUGACUUGGAAUAAUUAUUGUCAAACUCCAAAAAAAGUUGACCUGUGGGAGUAUGAAACAGAAUUUACAUCAGGCUUAUUAUUCCGGUGGCCAAAGAAAUAGCAGGUAGAAUAAAGUAAAAAGGUGGUAGCUGGGGGCAGUGGGAGUGGACUUAAGCCAGUUUGGGGAUAGGAUAUGAAUGGUCUUUCCUACCAACCUGUCUCUUUUUAUUUCAAACUUUAUCAGUUUAUGUUGCAUCAAACUUGAACUCUUCAAAUAUGAGAUAAUGCUUUUAAGGAAUUAGAAGACUUCCUUCCUGUUUAAGCCUCUCUAAUUGCUCUCCUGUGCAAAAUUUAGAUAUUUUCACUCAUUCAUUCAUUAAAUAUUCACCCCUACCAUGUAUUGAGCACACCACUAAAGCAAUGGAGAUUCAGAUCUGAGUAAAACACAAGUUCCUAUCCUCAAGGAACUCACAGCCAAGUGGUGAAAAAUAAACCUCCAUCUUACCUUUGUUAAAGUUCAAAUCCAGGGAAAAAGGCUGAAAAGCAACCACGAAGCCUGGAGGAGAGCAGUAAGGUGUGAGAGGCACCUUCUUGGUCCCAAGGCGGCAGUGUGGGGAGUGCGGGGAGCACGUCAUUCUCGGAGAAGGGGAAGGAGCAUGCCGAGCGGCGGGAAGCGUGCAGGCCCGAAGUGGGGAGCAGGAGAAACGGCAGAGCUGAGUGGAUACUCUGCCUAGGUCUGAAGUCUACUCUGAAGGCUCCAAGCAGGGACAGCGGCUCAGUUUUAUAAAGUGUUACCUGGGCAGUUGCUGGCUAGAGGGGUUCAAGGCCGAGGCCAGGGAAGCAGCUAUGGGCAAUCUGGGCAAGGAAACAUGACAGCUGCAAGCACAAUGAGGGUGCCAGUCUGAAGUCCCAGGAAAGCCCCUCAACAGAGGCAGGCUGUUGGGUAAUGGGACGGUGGCAGUUUUGUGUACCGCCUCCCUUACCUUACCUCCCUCACAUUUCUCCCCCAGUAAACACACAACCCUUAUACAACAAAAGGGCUCGGGGCCAGAGUGAAAGGCUUUCAUGGUUGUGGACCAAAUGGCAAGGAAGAGCAGUGGCCCAUACCCCAGAGGGAUUUUUCUCCCUCUACCGGAUCAUUCCCAUGAGCCCAUGAAACAUUUUCUGGCACUGUACCUUCAUCUGGAAAACACUCUCAUCCCUGUCCCUCUUCUCCCGAAAAACCCCCUUUGAUCUCCUCUAGUUAUUGCUUCAUUUCCCUUCACAGCAGGGCUGACAGUGGUAGGCCUUUACGUCCCCACCUGUGUCCACACUUCGACUUGCUCCAGUCCCCAUGCUCCUGCCAGUUAACUCCAUAUUGCCAAAUCUGAUGGAGGAUUACAAGAAAAAACAGAAUAGAAUGCAUCUCUAGGUCACCAGAGCCAGCUUAUAAUACCACAACACUGCUUUGUCAAUUUGCUUCUUUUCCAUAAAAAUUAUAUUUUCUGCAAAAUCAGUAAAAUGUAAAACUUCAGUAACAUUCACAAUCUACAAUAAAACUACUGGAAGAACAUGAGUCAGGGAGAUCUUAUAACUGCUCUUUCCUUCCCAUGUCAAAGACUCCAAGUAGCUCACCAAGAAAAAUCUACUACAAUAAAAAUACAUACAUAAAAUAAAAGUGCUCACAAACACAAAAAGAUAAGGUUACAGGCACCACACCAUCCACCAAACUGAGGACAUUUCUUACAAUCUGCUAAUUGGGAGUAGAAGUCAGGUGUCAGUACUUAUUUUUUUUUUAAAAUAGAUCAUGUACAUGUUAAUAAACUGUGAUUUCUAAACAAUGCACUCACUUGAACAUGAAAUAAGAAUGCCCUGAAUACUGGAAGGGACGCUUGAGUUGAACCACUCCAUGUGGAAAAUACACAGUAAGUGCUGUAAAUGUUGACUGAAUGCCUUCUAAGAAUGCAGGUUAUGAAUGAAAAUAUAAUUUACAAAUGGUUCAAAGGGACCUUUUAAAAAACAGUACUCCAGGGACUGGCUUCAUAUGAGUAUUUCAUAAAACCAAAGAACUGUUAAUAAAUGUACACAGAAAAUCAUGCCCUUGGCUUACUUGUGGAAAACCAGGUACUAUGUGAGCUAUUUUUCCCGAUGUGCUGCUGAUUCAUAAGGCUUUUUUAAAAACAGCAAAAGCCUCCAACUGCUACACAUUCUCCCUUAUAUACCUCUGAAGAUGGGAGUAGUGGCAGGUACCUGCAGGCCUAGCUAUUUAGAAAGCCCAUUCAACUCUGCUUUAGGCCAACUAAAACUGAGCAUAAAUACAUACAUAUCCCUUACUUGCUGGUUCUGGAGAAAUGUUUCAGUGUUUUAAUACUUCCUUAUAACAUUAAUUCCAACUUUUUACUAGAACCUGGAGUCUGAGCCAGCUUAACUGUGUUAGGGCUUUGGAACUUGACUGGAACAUCAUGAAAUAAAACACAAAUGUCUGGCUGUUGAAUGUUCAAAGACUUACCAGACACAAUAACCAAUCAUUCAUUAUGAAAAAUAAUUUCAAUACUGUCAUAAUAUAAAACAAAUCCUUUAAUUUUUCAAGUGUUUAAAAAACAAUUUUAUACUUAA